CCACAGCUUCUCCGGAGCCGCGCUUUAAAACCCUUCGUCUUCCUUCUUCCCUUUCAAGAAAACGUCUGCUCCCAACUCCACCACAUUCCUCGCUCUCUUCCAGUCUUUCCCCUCUCUUCGCUCCCAAUCGCCCUCUGCAAAUCAUUUAACGCCGGAGAUGUUCACCGAGGGGCUGGACGAGACGGCCAUCAGCUGGGUCAAUCAGGGAUCAGAUGUUGCUCAGAAACCUCGAUCUCCUCUGGUAGAGAAAUAUCCCGUGGAACCGGUCCCUGAACAACGACUGCUCUCCAAAUGCAACAACUUUCUGUCGCCGAAAGCAUUGCCCCCCGUAAAAUUCCACUCGAGCUUGCUAACUCCGCACUCGCACUUGUUGUCUGAUUCGGACGAAGAUGAGAGUGUCGCUUCUGUUCCAGAGGACUACUACGCCAAUUACUCCGACAGCGACUCCGAUCUCUUUGGGAAGCCAGGUAAGAGGAGUUGCGAGGAGGAGAUAUUGUCAGGUGAAAGUUCUUGCUACGAGCCAGUCAGAGAAACAGAUGGCAGACAGCGAUCUACUUUAGUUCGAGGGCUUUCCAAGGAGAACCUAAGAGUAGAUGUAGCAGCAAACAAUUCUUGUAGAGGUGAUGAGGUGAAGUCCAAGUUCAGCGCUAAUAGAAGCUCUGUCUCAGGUGCCAUCGCCCAGAAUCAUGAACAAGAUGGCUUUCCCCAUUCACGUGUUCAUAUUUUAAAUGAGUUCAUGGCUGAGAAAUUUCAAGAACUUGGAACACCCAGUGCACCUCCCAUUGUGGGGAAUGGAAGAGAAUCAGGCAGCCUAAAUUUAAAUGGUGAAACCAAGGUUAAUUUAGGCACUGAGGUCUCUUCAGAUUUUUCAAUACUGGCACAGAAAGUUGGAGAAAUUCCAGCAGGAGCCAUACCUGUAGAAGGAGAUAUGCAGAUUCCUCUCUGGCAAACAAAUAUUGCCUCCCAUAUGCCAAGCUACAAUACUAGUGUUCAGAGCGCAUGGCAAACAUUUAUUGCUUAUGAUGCAUGUUUCCGAUUGUGCCUCAAUGCAUGGGCAAGAAACUGCAUGGAGGCUCCAGAGUUCCUUCGGGAUGAGUGCAUGGCUCUGCGCAAUGCCUUUGGAUUGCAAACCUUCUUGCUGCAUCCUAGGGGCCAAACUCAAGGAGAGGGAAGGCAUGCUGAUAGUAAAGAAGGAACAAAUGUCAUUAAGGGUCGGAAAAUGAUUGGACAAGUGGAAAUUGAAGUGAAAAGGAUCCGCAUCAUACCUCAAAGAAGAAAGCUGCAGCCUACCUCUUCGUAUCGAACAAUAUAUAUGCAAAUGGGAGCUGAAUAUGUCAAACACAUGUCAGCAAUUUUAAAAAGUCAAAUAAAUUCAUUAAGAGCAACUGCUUCCCCAGUUUCUUCUGAAGACACUCUGUCAUGUAUAUUACAAUUGAAGAGCUCUAGUGAAGAUGCACUCACAGAAUCAGGUUCUAGUGUGUGUUUGAAACCUGGAACUGGUGAUUCUCAUAUAUUCUAUCCUGAGAGUCAAGGAGAUGCACUUUUGAUUGAAGUCCAUAAUAUAAAUAGAAUUAUCCAAGGUCGUGCCACAGUACCAAUAUCAUCACUGGCUGAAUGUCAUCAGGGAGAGAUGACUAGAUGGUGCCCUAUAUACUUAGAAGAUCAUGUCUGUGUAGGGAAGGUUCAAAUCUCAAUCAGUGUUUUUCACUCUUCGGACAAGAUGACUUCCACCAAGAUGUUGCAGGGUGGUCCAGUUGUCGAAACAAUGAUAUAUGAUCUAGUACUUGAGGCAACAAUGCGAGCUCAGCAUUUUCAUUCAAAGAAUUUACAUAUACAUGGUCAUUGGAAGUGGCUUUUGAAUGAAUUUGCUGAUUAUUAUGGAGUAACUGAUGCAUAUACAAAGCUGAGGUAUCUUUCAUUUAUCAUGAAUGCUGCGACACCUACAAAAGAAUGCUUAGAGCUUAUAUAUGAGCUCCUUUUACCCAUCAUGAGAGCUCGAGGUGAAAAAAAUUUAACUAGACAAGAGAGAAGCAUUCUACUGGAUUGUGAAGAUCAGAUCAACAAUUUGUUGGCAACUACUUUUGAGAACUACAAGUCACUAGAUGAGCUUUCACCAACAGGCCUAACUGACAUUUUUGGUCCAAUUCCGGAAUCUGCUGCACCAGCCUUAGUGCCUGCUGUACAGAUAUUCACUCUUCUGCAUGAUAUCCUGUCUCAAGAAGCUCAAAAUAUUUUAAGAAAUCAUUUGCAGAUUGCUGCAGCAAAGCGGUGUAGGCGGCAUAUGGUAGAAACUGAUGAAUUUAUGUCAAGCAACUGUGAUGGACUCUACGCAGACCCUAUGACCUUCUCAACAGCAUAUCUCAAAAUGAAAAUGCUAUGCAUUAAUAUAAGCAACGAGAUUCAAGCAGAUAUCAAGAUUCACAAUCAGCAUAUAUUUCCUAGUUCCAUAGAUCUGCCAAAUAUUGCUGCUUCUUUAUACAGUACUGAGCUCUGCAAAAGACUCCGAGGGUUUCUUGCAGCUUGCCCUCCAUCCAAGCCCUCACAGCAUGUGGCAGAGCUGCUGAUUGCAACUGCUGAUUUUGAAAGAGAUCUUGAGUCAUGGAACAUCAGGCCAGUUCAUGGAGGGGUUGUCUCAAAGGACUUGUUCCAUGACUAUAUCAUGGUUUGGAUCCAAGACACGCGGCUUCAGUUACUUGAUCUUUGCAAGACAGAAAAGUCUUUGCAGGUACCAUGGUUAGAUGUAUCCACAAAUUGUGCAACGUCACCAUUGGUUGAGAACAUAUAUGAACAGAUUAGAAAAGGCAUAAAUGAGUAUGAGGUGGUGAUAAGUAGGUGGCCUCAGUACUUGUUGGCUUUAGAGAAUGCUCUUGCUGACAUCGAACGAGCAGUCUUCAAGGCACUAGAAAAACAAUACAGUGAGAUCCUUGUACCUUUGAGGGAUGGGAUUCCAAAAAUACUCGAGAAGCAAGUGCAGAAGCUCACAAGGCGACAGCCUACUUCUCCUUAUGUCGUACCCAGUCAGCUGGGAAUCUUUCUUAACACUGUUAAAAGAAUCCUUGAAGUGCUACAUCCUGGAGUUGAGGAUUUUUUAAAAUGUUGGGCUGCAUGCUUGACAAUUGAGGAUGGAAAUACAAUUUUUGGAGAGCAAAUGAAUGGAAUCACAGUAACUCUGAGGAAGAAGUACAAGAAGUACAUGCAAGCAAUUGUGGAAAAGCUUGUCAGCAAUGCACAAGCAAACCGAACCACGAGGCUCAAAAGGAUUCUCGAAGAGACAAAAGAAGCAGAAGGUGAACCCGAGAUUCGUGACAGGAUGCAGACCUUGUGUCUGCAGCUAACAGAUUCGAUACACAAUCUACAUCAUGUGUUAGCUAGCAGGAUCUUUGUUGCAAUUUGUCGUGGUUUCUGGGAUAGAAUGGGACAGAUUGUGUUGAGCUUUCUUGAGAGCCGAAAGGAGAACAGAAUAUGGUAUCGAGGAUCCGAUUAUGCUUUAGGGAUUUUAGAUGAUCUGUUUGCAUCUGAGAUGCAGAAACUGCUCGGGAAUUCUCUGCAAGACAAGGACUUGGAUCCACCUCGAGCAGUGAUCGAAGCCCGGUCCAUCCUCUGCUGAAACUUCAACCGCGAUCGGCUAUGGAAAUCCCAAUCAAUCAAAUUGUUCGGCAGCAGAAGAUGAUGCUUUUGUUCAUUAUAUUAAUUGGCUUGUUUCAGGGAUUCCAGAUUCUGAGAACACGGAGCUGAAACGGCAAACGAGCCACUGCCUUCCACUCGCUUUGCAGCUCCGGUGACAACCCACCAACGGGCACAAUCAGGUUUUUGCUUAACCAACAAGUAUCAGAGCCUUGUAAUCACAAAAUUGGUGCCACAAAACACAGUCAUGUUUUUGCUUAACCAACAAGUUCGAAUAAAGGUUGCGUCUGUGGUCGGCUGGCCCUAGGAUG